rnacentral:rRNA from 1 species
UACGUAGGGUGCCAGCGUUGUCCGGAAUUAUUGGGCGUAAAGAGCUCGUAGGUGGCCUGUCGCGUUGGCUGUGAAAACUCGGGGCUCAACUCCGAGCUUGCAGUCGAUACGGGCAGGCUAGAGUUCGGCAGGGGAGACUGGAAUUCCUGGUGUAGCGGUGAAAUGCGCAGAUAUCAGGAGGAACACCGGUGGCGAAGGCGGGUCUCUGGGCCGAUACUGACACUGAGGAGCGAAAGCGUGGGGAGCGAACAGG